rnacentral:rRNA from 1 species
GACGAACGCUGGCGGCGUGCUUAACACAUGCAAGUCGAACGGAAAGGCCCUGCUUGCAGGGUACUCGAGUGGCGAACGGGUGAGUAACACGUGGGUGAUCUGCCCUGCACUUCGGGAUAAGCCUGGGAAACUGGGUCUAAUACCGGAUAGGAGCCAUUUUUAGUGUGAUGGUUGGAAAGUUUUUUCGGUGUAGGAUGAGCUCGCGGCCUAUCAGCUUGUUGGUGGGGUAAUGGCCUACCAAGGCGGCGACGGGUAGCCGGCCUGAGAGGGUGGACGGCCACAUUGGGACUGAGAUAAGGCCCAGACUCCUACGGGAGGCAGCAGUGGGGAAUAUUGCACAAUGGGCGCAAGCCUGAUGCAGCGACGCCGCGUGGGGGAUGACGGCCUUCGGGUUGUAAACUCCUUUCGCUAGGGACGAAGCUUUUUGUGACGGUACCUAGAUAAGAAGCACAGGCUAACUACGU